ensembl:lncRNA
CUCCCAGCCAGAACUACUUUCUGGAAGCCAAUGACAGCCCCUCCCUCACACCGAAAUGAAGAGAAUUACACCGGUUUUUAAACCAGGAUAGAAGAGAGUUUAUUCGGGAGCAGUUCAUGGUCGUUUCCUAAGAGCAAACAAAAUUCACGCCGAACUCAUACCCUGCUCCACAGAGUCCUUGGUCUGGGGUAUUUAUGAUUAUUAUUGGAAACGGUUAUUCUUUAGAGGUGAUUAUUACUGAGGAGAAGGACGGCGCAGCCUGCGGUUCAAUCCCUGCAGCCCUUUCGGCUGUCCGCUCAGGUUGCGGCCGGGAGUCCUCCCAAGGGGUGAGAGGUGAGGUGCUGGAAAUUAAAACCUAACACCUUGCCCAGGGGCUCUGAGACCACUCGUCCUUUUAACAACCAACCCCCCCCCGCCCCCUCCCCAAAGGAAAAAAAAUGUUGCCCUGUCCCUUUUCCAGAGGAGGAAAGAAGAACGGUGCGUGACACGUGAACCGUAAAAGUUCACUUUUGUUUGUUUAUUUGUUGAGGUAUCUUAAAUAGGGGAAAAGAAAGCACGACAAACAAGAAAGAAGCGGAAAGUCUGGAGGACUGUAACUUCUGUGGCUGGGUUUGAGGCGGGCGGACUGCGGCUACCUUUGGCCAUCUGGCUGGUUUAAGCUUUUGCCCCCAUGCUGUAUGAUUUUAGCUUAAAAUCUCUUCCGUUGCAGCGCCGCUUUUAUUGAAUUCAUCAAAAGCAAACUUUCCCCGAGGUUUUUUUUUUUUUUUUUUUUUUUUUUUUUUUUUUUUUUAAGAAGGGCUAAAAUAAUAAGUCGACCACUGUGACAUUCUCUGGGCUUAGGCCAUUUUUCAUAACGCAGCUGAUACGCUUUUGUGCAGCUAAGGCGACCAAACAGAUGAAUAACGAGAAAAGUCUCCCGAAAGCGAAAGCUUCCAGCUUUUCUCAUCUUUAAAAAGUUAAGCAAAGUGAGAGGUGCGUGUCGAAAAACUUCCCAAAUCCAAAAAAUAGCCCCCCUCCCCCCCACGCCAAAGAUCAGGGCAACACGUUAAUACCUCCGCAUGGUAACGAUGCCUUUAUAACAACUUACUGCACACACGCACACACCCGCACACACACACGCACACACACACACACACACACACUCACACAAAACUUUAAAGCUUGUGAAACUGCCCAGGUGGUGUUUAUAGGACCGUAGCCAGUGGGUUGUAAAGAAAUCCGAGACAUUUGAAGGAGAUUAUUUAAAAAUAAAUGACAAAACAUUUUUUUUUUUCUUCAAUUUGCUCCCUGUUUCACUGUAUGAGCGGUGCUUAACGCAGGGCUUGGAGGACCAGGUUGUGUGCAGCGCUAAGGAACAGUCCCACAAGUUGGGAGGAUUUGGCAGGCGGGGAUCAAAGGCAGGAUAGAGAAAAAAAAUUGGCAGGCGAAGAUAGACAUUGUUCUAGUGACAAGAUGAGGGUCCCGAAAGGAGAAUGCUUGCUCCAUCGGAAGUGGCUGCGUGGCAAAGGGAGAAACCUCACUUUUCAAGCCCCUUUGCGAGGCAUUGUCUUUGGGGCUGGCGCUGCUGCCAUACAGUAGGGUCCCCAUGGCAACGCAACCUGCUGCUGCUGCUGCUGCUGCCCCUCUUCCAGAGUUGAAGGCACUGAAAGGCAGCUGAAGUGACUGGGCUUAAAGAGCAACAGAAUAAACAAUAUUUUGAUUCAUUGGGAGAAGAGAGAGAGGCUCCCGCCCCCCCACCCCCGCCCCCCGACCCAUGAAUGCUGGCAUUGUCCAUGCUUUUCUGAAUCUGAUUUACCAUAUCAUAACCCCUAGGAAGAAGAAAACAUCAAUAUCCCGAAGGAAUGGAGAUGUUUCUAUGGAAAACCUAGGAAUUUUAGUCCAUAACAGAUCUGGUGUAAAAAUCAAAGAGAUCAAAGGCGGCGCUCCCAGGAGUAUAGAUGCGUCUCUGAAUUAAAGAUGGACGAUGCAGACUACAAAGUACUUUUUUUCCACCCUCCUUUAUUCAGGCCUCUGUUUCCAUUUCAAGGGAGGCGCUGUCCCAACAUCAUAUCUGAGCCCAGACAGUCACCACGAACAAUGCUUGCGAAGGGGGAGAAGCGCUAAAGAAAGAAAAUCAUAACAACCAUCCGGCCUCGCAGGAUUGUUUCCAUUACAAACCCGGGCUCAACAAUUAAUUACGAAAUUGUUUAAGAAAAAAAAAAAAAAAGAAAAAAAAAGAAAGAAAGAAAAAAGAAAGAAAAAGAAUGAAGGGUGGUGGUGGAGAGAAAGGCUCAAGGCUCAAGCAAAGUGGUUGAUACAGUGGAUAAAGGCUACGGGGGUUGGGGGCUGGGUGAUGUAGGAGGCAGCCCCCCGUACCCCAGCCCUGCGGAACGCGGGACCAUAAGGAUCCGUGCGCAUCCGCGGAGGGCACUGCGGGCGGUGCGCGCUGCUCGGCCCCGCGCUCCCGGUCCCAUUGACGGCUCCGAGGGUGGUGCCGGGUCCGCUCGGGCCGGCAUCCCUCGGCCGGGUGCCAUAAAACAAAGCAAAGACACAUUUAAAAGAGCUAGGGGUAGGCAGCUCGCUUAUCUGCUACACGGCUGUCCCUCGGGGAGCGGGGUGUCCCUUCGGGCCCGAAUCCCUGUGAAGACACCCCUGCGGGAAGGGGAAGCUCUGCCCGUGGCGGACACCUCUGGACCUUUUCUUCUCCUGGGGGCCGGGGAGCGGGGGUGGGGGGAGGGCAGGAACCCGUUGUUACAGAACCCGAGAAGAUGAAUAUUGGAGAAGUCAAUUAAGUUGUUUGGAAACACACGCAGAAAAAAGUGCUGGGACUAAUGUUAUGAAGAAAGCCAAUUAAAAUGGUUUGAUAAGCAUAUGUAUUAGCAACAAGUGUAGCACAGAGGUCAGAAACAACACUAAGUAAACAGAGUUGACAGAAGAGUGAAUCUUUUGUGGCGGGUGCGCAGCUGUCCGGCCUCCCUUUGUCCGGGCUGAGGCUGGGUGCACGCUCCCUGCUGCCCUCUCCCCAACUCAAUGCACAAAAACAGAUUGGGAUGUUCUGCAUGCAUAGGCAACAUUGCAGCCCCAGUCCUCCCUUUUCUGUUCCUUCUUUAGGAGACAGGGCUCUCCAGACAUUUUUUCCUGACAGUAACAAAGCGGGGCUGUAAAACAGUUCAGAAUAGGAGGGGAGAAAGAAGAGAAAGGAGUCCCCGAGGGGGAAGAAAGCGCCAUGUCACAGGACAAAAGAAUAGGAAGUUGAAAAUAGAAAUAAAACUGAAAGCAAGAAUUAUCUUGUUAAACAGAGGUGCUUUUUGUCCGGAGUCGUCUUUGUGAAAGUUUUUAAAGUAUCAAGACGUGGAACAAGUGUGUAAGUCCCCACACAUACCGCAGUCAAAGAUUCAUGAGCUUCCGAGAGCCUUGAUGGCUUAUUUAUGUGUCAGCAACUUCUGCAGCUUAAGUGCGUUCUAAAAACCAGACCAGGGUCAGUGGGAGUCCCACGGACAUGGCUUAGACGGAGCGGGGAGGACAGGGGGAUGCCACCUUGGCCGAGGGAAGGAAAUACAAAGAUCACGAAGUAUCGAGCCGGGGUCUUUUCAUUUAAAGUGUUGAGAAUGGACCCGAGUCGGGCUGUUCGCUGCCGGUCCGGUCCCGCUGCCCACGGCCCGUGAGACUGGUUCGCGAUGGGGCCGGGCCGGGCAAGCGAAGGGAAGAUAACAGCCUUUUGGGACAGGCGGCGGAAGUGCCGGGGCUGAGCAAGCUGGGCCGGGUCGGGCCGGGAUGGGGCUCACAGCGGGCCGUCCCUCUCCAACCCAGCUGCGUUUCGUCCCUCGCACCCCGAGGGAAGGAUGCGCUUUUAGGAAGCGGUGCCGCGCUCCUUGCUCGGGCAGAGCACCGCUGCCGCCACCUCGAACACGCCUUGAGCUCUGCACUUGUCUCUCCGCGUUUAACGUCACUUAAGACAAUAAAGGGGAGAAACCCAAAGUCAAGGAGGGAGCAGCAAGACGAGCAAACACCCUUCUCUCCCUUCCCAAGAUCUGUUCUUCCUGUAUCCCUCCCGAAGGUACGCGAAGGAUGCCAGACGUGAGCCUCGCUCGCCUUUCCCAGCCCGGAGCACAACUUUUGUCAGAGCAGAGCUGACAGGGAAACCUCCAGGGAAACCUCCAUCCCGGUUCCCAGGGACAACACGUGUUGCCCAAUGUCGCCCAAAUUGCCCACAACAUUGUCAGAAUAACUCCGCGGCAAGUGGCUUUUGCAGUCCCCGGGGAAACCGAUAGCUCUUGCACGCUUUUGAUCCCGGACUCCGGUUUAGUCAAGUUUCGGGUUGGAAAAGAUAAAUGCGAAAGCCUAAAUUUUAUGACUUGGGGAUCUGAAUAUGAAUCUUCUGUCUGGGCACGAGAACACACCAACCCACUGCAAAUCAGGAGGGGAAAAUCAGCAUAGGCUGUCACUGAGGCUCUCGCUCUGGCUUUGAAGCGGAGUCCAAGCACAAACUUUUCUGAUGAAUCGAAGUCGUUAAAUUUUAGUGCGGAUGAGUUAUGGCUCAGCUUCCAAAACAGUACAAAUGUUUAUUAAGAAUCGUCUCAUAAGUGGCCUUUUAGAAUUGUCUUGUUUCACCAGCAAAAAUUAAAUCUGGGACAUCUCGCCCCUUUCUGAAUGCCAUCUUCUCAGUACACUCCAUUUAUUAACAUUAUCAAUUCUCUCUCUCAAGUCUGUCGUUGUCAUGAUUUAAGGAGACUCUUUCCCUUAAAGCGGAGAUUUCCCAAUCGGAAAAACAGCCGACUCCAGUCACGCCGCUGCGUGAUUUCGGAAGCGCGUAUAAAAGGCCCCGGGGAUACUGAGAACAUACGGGUGACAGCGACCCCGCCGAGGGGCGGCUGCGGACCCCCCCUGCGCCCAGGUGCGG